UCGGAAUUUGCUUUAUACUAUACAACUUCGUCAUAUUAUCAUGACCUGAUGUAAAGUCGAGCGGGAAAUGAGCCUUGUAGGUUUAAUGUUGAAUUUGAGAGUCAAUUUGAGCAUCAAUUGUUCUUGAUGUACAUUAGUGAGACCAUACAAAUGCAAAUUUCUGGUGAAAGCGUUGGUAGAUAAACACAAUAAAUUUUAAAUAUGUUAAUGUGAAACGCGCGAAAUUUGUCACACAUACACGUGCCCUUCGAUUAUCGCGGUUUGAGCCGGCUUUCUUCGUGGCAGGCGGUUAUCAGCAUAAGCGUUGCGUUCUGAUUGGUUCAUUUAUAACAAUCUCGAAAAUGAUUGGCUAAAUGUCGUGAUUUGUGAUAUUUUGAAAAAAGCGAAAAGCGACCAUAAACUGUAGAAGAAUAAUAUACACAUUGCUUAGUAGAAAAAGAUCAGAUAAAAAAAACAAACAGCGUGUAUUUUGUAAUGGCUGAAGACAAUUUUGCCAGCGAAAGUGGAAAUAUAACGCAAUCUUUGGAGCAAAUGUAUAUGAAUACACCUGUCGGAAAGACGCUCUCCUUGCAACAUGGCAUAUCUGUUGAAAGCAGUUGUUCGGCGACUUUGAGUCCUCCACCUACACUAGAAGUGAAUCAGAAACGUGAAAGAAGCGAGUCAUUGAUGCUGCAUCACAUAAAUGAUUCGAUAGCUACAAAACGCAGGCUUAGAAGCCGUUCAAGACUAGGCCUAUCGCCAGAAGAUAUUCCUUCUGCGUUUAUGAGUCCACCUAUGAGCAGCAAACCACACGAGAGGACUUACAGCCGAUAUGAAAAUGAACAAUGGUUUCCUGAGGCGACAGUUGACCAUCCUGAAGCCAGUUCAGUCUACUUAACGCCAUAUUCAGAGCCUAGAGAACCGUUAAAGAAUAAGGACAAUAUUUCUUAUUAUGGAGAAAAAUGGUGUUCAAACAUCCAGCUAGAAGAUUGUAUUGACAAUGGUUCUACUGAUGAUCAGGCAACAUUGUCUCCCUCAGAUAAGACAAGGGUAAAACUAAAUUUUGAUAAAUGUGCUGAUGGAAGCAACUCUCAGAUGUUAUUAACAAAUUCACGUAUAUCAUUUUGCACUAACAAAAUCAUUGGAUGGCGUAUGGGUAUUAAAAGAAUUGACUUUAUAAAGAACUUAAGAUCAUGAAUUGCCAGUUAAUUUACCAACAGAUCUUCAGCUAUUUGAAAUCAAGGGAUCUUUUAAGGGUUGCAUCGGUGUCAAAAUUGUGGAGGGAGGUUUGCAAGAAAGAUCAAAUUGCAUCUCCAAGGCUUGAACAAUAUAUCACCAAUCAAAAGCAACAUGUAAUACAAAAGGGAAAGGUAUAAUUUACUGUGAAAAAUUGUAAUUGUUUAGCACUCAUUCAGCUUGGAAGCUCUCUUCAUCUUUAGGUUUUUUGUGUUAUACUUCCUUUUUUCUCACUUUAGGAAAAUUUUGGUUAUCAUACAAAGUUUGAUAACUCGGUUCCUCAACGACAGCCAUUGUCCACUCAAAACGACAAUAUUAGAAAACCUCAACCAAAAGAAGUGUCCACUGAUUUGAAUGAAGUCAGAGAAAAAUUAUUGUACACAUAUGAAAGAAUAAAAUGCCCAUACUGUCUGUCACCUUCCAAGAAGACAGAUGAAUGGUGGGAAUGUAAAAAAUGCCAACAUGUAUUUUGCAGUGUCUGCCAGUGCAGGGUGGAUGAAAAUCACAAAACUGGACAGUGUAGCCAUAAAUUAAACACAGAAAAUGCCAAACAAAUUUCAAUUGGUUCAAAAAAGAGCAAGGAUCGCCUGAAAAGAUUUUAGGAUAACCUAAUAGAUAAAAAUUAAUUUAUAAUAUAGAUAGUAUUUUUCAAUUGUAGAUAAUCAAAAAAAUCUUCAUGUACAUAUUUCCUUGCAUCACAGUUGCCCUUUUCCUUAGAUAUUGAUAUCAAUUGCAUUUUAACGGUGCAAGGUAGUACAUGGAAGUAAAAAGACUCAAACAUCUUUUCUUUUAAUUGAAAUGUAAUUAACUGUUUUCCCUCAAUUAGCUUCUUCAAUUGUUAUUUAAUUUGCACAGUUUGCAUGUAUAUAGUUAUUUAAAGCAUUAUUUUAUUUUUGAUUGUACAUUCAUUUUUAAUAUAUAUACCAUCAAAAAACCUCAUUGAAA